rnacentral:rRNA from 1 species
GAUUAACGCUAGCGGCAGGCAUAAUACAUGCAAGUUGAACGGCAGCACAGGUAGCAAUACUGGGUGGCGAGUGGCGCACGGGUGCGUAACACGUAUGCAACCUACCCUAUACAGGCGAAUAACCUUUAGAAAUGAGGGCUAAUACGCCGUAGUAUUACAGAUGGGCAUCUAUUUGUAAUUAAAGAUUUAUCGGUAUAGGAUGGGCAUGCGUCCCAUUAGUUAGUUGGUAAGGUAACGGCUUACCAAGACGAUGAUGGGUAGGGGAUCUGAGAGGACUUACCCCCACACUGGUACUGAGACACGGACCAGACUCCUACGGGAGGCAGCAGUAAGGAAUAUUGGGCAAUGGCCGCGAGGCUGACCCAGCCAUGCCGCGUGCAGGAAGACGGCCUUAUGGGUUGCAAACUGCUUUUAUACGGGAAUAAUAGAGUGUACGCGUACAUUUAUGCAAGUAUCGUAUGAAUAAGCAUCGGCUAACUCCGUG